GAUGAACGCUGGCGGCGUGCUUAACACAUGCAAGUCGAACGGGAAAUAUUUCAUUGAGACUUCGGUGGAUUUGAUCUAUUUCUAGUGGCGGACGGGUGAGUAACGCGUGGGUAACCUGCCUUAUACAGGGGGAUAACAGUCAGAAAUGGCUGCUAAUACCGCAUAAGCGCACAGAGCUGCAUGGCUCGGUGUGAAAAACUCCGGUGGUAUAAGAUGGACCCGCGUUGGAUUAGCUUGUUGGUGGGGUAACGGCCCACCAAGGCGACGAUCCAUAGCCGGCCUGAGAGGGUGAACGGCCACAUUGGGACUGAGACACGGCCCAGACUCCUACGGGAGGCAGCAGUGGGGAAUAUUGCACAAUGGGGGAAACCCUGAUGCAGCGACGCCGCGUGAAGGAAGAAGUAUCUCGGUAUGUAAACUUCUAUCAGCAGGGAAGAUAGUGACG
rnacentral:rRNA from 1 species